UGGGGAAUAUUGCGCAAUGGGCGAAAGCCUGACGCAGCGACGCCGCGUGGGGGGAUGACGGCCUUCGGGUUGUAAACCUCUUUCAGCAGGGACGAAGCGCAAGUGACGGUACCUGCAGAAGAAGCACCGGCCAACUACGUGCCAGCAGCCGCGGUAAUACGUAGGGUGCAAGCGUUGUCCGGAAUUAUUGGGCGUAAAGAGCUCGUAGGCGGUUUGUUGCGUCGGCUGUGAAAUCCCGAGGCUCAACCUCGGGUCUGCAGUCGAUACGAGCAAACUAGAGUGUUGCAGGGGAGACUGGAAUUCCUGGUGUAGCGGUGAAAUGCGCAGAUAUCAGGAGGAACACCGGUGGCGAAGGCGGGUCUCUGGGCAACAACUGACGCUGAGGAGCGAAAGCGUGGGGAGCGAACAGGAUUAGAUACCCUGGUAGUCCACGCCGUAAACGUUGGGCGCUAGGUGUGGGGCUCGAUUCCACGUAGUUCCGUGCCGCAGCUAA
rnacentral:rRNA from 1 species